rnacentral:misc_RNA from 1 species
GAUGAAGAACGCAGCGAAAUGCGAUAAGUAAUGUGAAUUGCAGAAUUCAGUGAAUCAUCGAGUCUUUGAACGCACAUUGCGCCCCCUGGUAUUCCGGGGGGCAUGCCUGUCCGAGCGUCAUUGCUGCCCUCAAGCACGGCUUGUGUGUUGGGCCCCCGCCCCCCGGUCCCGGGGGGCGGGCCCGAAAGGCAGCGGCGGCACCGCGUCCGGUCCUCGAGCGUAUGGGGCUUUGUCACCCGCUCUGUAGGCCCGGCCGGCGCCCGCCGGCGACCCCAAUCAAUCUUUUUCAGGUUGACCUCGGAUCAGGUAGGGAUACCCGCUGAACUCAAGCAUAUCAAUAAGCGGAGGA